rnacentral:rRNA from 1 species
GAUGAACGCUGGCGGCGUGCUUAACACAUGCAAGUCGAACGGACAGGCCCUGCGUUUGUGCGUCUCUCGUUUGGCGAACGCGUGUGUAACACGUGAGUAUCCUCCCCCUAUCUUUCUGAUAACUUCUGGGAACUCCGGCUCAUAUCGGAUAUGAUCUCCUGCUGCAUGGUGUUGGUUGGAAAGAUUCGGCGGUUGUGGAUCGACUCGCGGCUUAUCCGCUUGUUUGUGUGGUAGUGGCUUACCAAGGCUUUGACGGGUAGCCGGCCUGAGAGGGUGACCGGCCACAUUGGGACUGAGAUACGGAGCAGACGGGUACGGGAGGCAGCAGUGGGAAAUAUGGCACAGUGGGCGGAAGCCUGAUGCAGCAACGCCGCGUGCGGGAUACCCGGCUUCGAGUUGUAAACAGAUUUCGCAGGAGACGAACCGUGAGUGACGGUAAUGGGUAAAGAAGCACCGGCUAACUACGUG